AUUGAGAAAACAUUUACAAGACGCCCUUCCCUUUCUUGGGACAACAUACAGAUUACCAAGUAAACAGUAACUCAUUUUGGAGUUGGCAUUUUAAAAACAACCACCGAGGAUGCAAACCAUCAAUGUAGUGAACACUCUUCAAGAAGUACAAACCCAAACGGGUCCUACUAAGAGGACCAGGGAAGGCAUUGAGCAGUGCCUGAAGCUUUACCUGUUAACUCACGCCAAGGGACCCAGUGGGCAAAACAUCCAGUGAUGGGAACCGAAACUACCCCCUCUAGCAAUAAGGGCUGCCCUCACACCAGCAAGACACUGCGUGACUGACCCCAAGACAAUAAUCAACCUGACCUUUUGCUGCUCUGCUGCAGAGUACCCACCAAUCUUUGUUGUGAUUUCCCUAUAUAAACUUAGACAUAUUCUCAGCACCUUGGAGACAGUUCUUAGGCCAUUAGCCCAUGGUAUUCCUGGUACUGGCUUCACUGAAAUAAAUUCCUUUCUUGUUUCACCA